UGGGGAAUAUUGCACAAUGGGCGCAAGCCUGAUGCAGCCAUGCCGCGUGUAUGAAGAAGGCCUUCGGGUUGUAAAGUACUUUCAGCGGGGAGGAAGGCGUUGUGGUUAAUAACCACAGCGAUUGACGUUACCCGCAGAAGAAGCACCGGCUAACUCCGUGCCAGCAGCCGCGGUAAUACGGAGGGUGCAAGCGUUAAUCGGAAUUACUGGGCGUAAAGCGCACGCAGGCGGUCUGUCAAGUCGGAUGUGAAAUCCCCCGGGCUCAACCUGGGAACUGCAUUCGAAACUGGCAGGCUAGAGUCUUGUAGA
rnacentral:rRNA from 1 species